GCCGCUGCCCGGAGCCCCGGGCGGAGGGGCGCGGGGUUUCGGCGGCGCGGAGGGAGCUGCGCGCCGUGCUGCGGCUCCGAGGGCGGGGUGUCCCGCCGCCUCGGGGCCGGGUGGGGGGGAUGCGCUUUGCGAGGGGGGUCGGAAGGCGUCCGGGAAUAAAACUCGAAAAGCGUUGGCUCGCUUACACAGCGCACGCUUCCCUCUCAGGUGGCCCACGAGAGCCGGUGGAAAUGAAUAAGUUCUUCGGUGGAAAACCCAAUUCCAGUCCGUGACCUAAAGGCAGGAGCUUUGGUUCGAAUCGGAAACUGUGAUUGAAAGCAGAGCAGAUAAAAUGUGUUUAUUUUAGCUGACUGAGUUGGGGGCUGGCUUUUCCUCCAGAACAGUCCCUUGUCAGCUGGCUCAGGUAUGGGAUUCUUGCUCUGAGGUCAUGGCUUCGUGCUGAUAGCGGGUGUGAAAAAGCUCUUUUCAAUGCGCGCAUUAUCAUUUGAGGAUAUGCUUUAUCUCUGGUCCCAUUGCACAAAGAAUAAUAUUCCUUAAAAAACGUCACGGUAAAUAAUAGUCUUAUCUACCUUGUUAACAGUAUAAUAUGGUUUUCUUCUCACUUUACUUCCUUAACAAGGUGUAAAGUUGCAGUUUGUCUGAUAAAGCAGGGCAGUAAAAACAAAAGUGCAGUUAGUGUUUGUACUCUUUAGUCAUGAAACCGAAACUACAGAAGGAGCUACGGUCAAUAAAGAGAGCUUUCAGAUAUCCAUAUCAACUUAAAUUACAGAGUUCUUUAAGAGGUGGGUUAUAAAGUUACUGAUAUGAGUGCUGUAACUGCGAGAUAUAGAAGUUUAUCUUCCAGCAGUAAUGCCAACAUACAGCUCUUCAUUAAAAAACAUAUCCUGAGCUUUCAGUGCCCUGAGGAAUCAAUGCUACAAUCGAUUCUGACAGGAAAGGUUUCCAAGCCAAUGCGUCUUAUUUUUAGUGUAUCUGCAAAAACAGAAAGCAUUGGUCACUGAAGACCCAACUGUGAGUUAGAUGUCACUUUUGUUAAUGCUAAAUGUGCGAUCCAAGGGACGUUUACUGGACAGCAAAUUUUGGAAAGGAGAACUUAAAAAAAAGGUAACUUUGAGGAUUUUUUUUUUUUUUGGCAUGUUAAAUGUUAUGCCAUGCACUUUUACCUGUAAUUCAAUAAAGAUUUGUGCCUUCAGCUGUGUAGAAGUGUGGUUCUGCCCAUAUCUUGCCGCUAACGUGAGAAGUUAUACAUGGAUUUGUCUACAGGUCUGGAACCCAGCCACUCUUUCUGGGAAAAUGUGUGCCUAUGACUCAGUGCGCGCAUACUUAGCUAUUAAUAUGUUUGCAGCAGCAGACCUCACAUCAUAAAAAAUAUUGCAGGGUAAUUCAACUAUUACUAAUUGUAUGGCCUAAAACCAAAUUGUUUAAUAUUUUGUUAAUAUUUGAAUAUAACAGGAUAUUUUACUUUAAUGUACGUUGAUAAUGUUUCUUUUUUCAACAAGUAUUGCCCCUUAGAGUUUCUGCUAGAAAGAAAUGGAACUGAAGGAAUUUUGUGGUCAUUGGAUGAACCCAAUGCAUAGAUAUUUAAAUUAUUUGGAUAAAUUACAGUAAAUGGUCAGAUGUUAAGUUUGUCUGUCAUUUAAAGUUAAAGUACCAAAUUUCAAUAAACAUAUAAGGAUUUCAGUAACGAUACUGAAUACUUCAAAUUCCUUUUAUUGAGUGUAUUGAUGUAGUCUCAGCUUUGAUCAAGUUCAAAAGGCAAAUUGUGGUAUGGUUAUGGGAAGAAUUUGUCCUUUGCCUAGCAUUGUAGUUGUGUGAAGCACAUUUAGGAGUCCUGCAGUGCCCUGAUCUUGCAGUUUGCAGCACCUCUGCAAACGUUUAUUGCUGAUUGCCUCAGCUCCAGGAUGCAAUCAUAUUCAGAGCUCUGCAGCUGGAUAUUGCCCUUUACAAGUGUUAUGAUGAGGGAGGACAGCCCCAGUGUGCAAAAAGUGCAGGGAAGAGAGAAUCUGCUUCUUCAGGAGCACAGAAAACAGAAAGGACAAGCCAGGACUCCAGAGCCUGGUCAAAAUGUCUGUAAAACAGUAUUCAGGAUAAUCUGCUAAUGAACUGCUGUGUUGGCAGCUAAUUUGGUGUCAGGCAGUUCUGCCUUUUGUUUUAACAGCCUAGCUGAAGAGGCUUAACCUUUAACAUUCACAGUGAGACUCUGCUGGCCAGCAGCCACCUUUACUGUUGAAAAUCUGCAGAGUUGUUGGCAAAAGGUCUGUGCUGCAGUCCGGUGAGUUCCUGCCAGUGAAAGACUUAAGGAAAGUACUGCUUCUCCUAAUGGUUGCUGCUACUGCAAGCAGACAUGCUGUACUGUCUAGGGCCUGGGUAUGUAGUCUCUGAUAUAACAGCGAAGAUACUGCAGUGGUGUCAGCCUAUCUCAGGGCCAAAUUAUAUAUACAUACUUUUUUUUUUUCUGCUCAAGACUGAAUGUAAUAAAUUCACUGUAGAGGAGUGUGCUCAUUUAAGUGUGGCAAAUACGGACCUUAAUAAUUCAUAUUAAGUGAAUCAGAACUUGCAUCUCUGAGGUAGCAAUUUGCUAAUAACUUAAAUUUUGCAUACAAAAUAUGGAUCACCCAUUCAUUUUAUUUCAUCCACUAUUCUAACUACUGUUAUCACUGUAUGGUUGUGUAACUGCUGAUAACUGCACAAAGGGCACAUUAACAAAUUAAACUGCUUUGCAAUUAAGGGUGGAGCAAGCUGUCUAAUUUGUUGUACUUCAGCUGGGACGAAUCUGUUUAUGUCACUGCUCCUGUGUCAUGUCACCCAAACAUGCCUUCACUGAUACAUAAGGUUGUCAUCUAACAGCUGACACUUAGCUGCAGUUCUUGCUGCUGGCCACUUCAUGUUUUUAUCUCAUUCAUAGUUGUAAUUACUAUGACAAGUGCAAGUUGUUUUCCAGUGACAGCGUUGUUUUUUUAGUGACAGUGUUUAUUAUAGCUGUAAUAUGGCCAAGUCUGGGUCAGGUCCAUAGCAUUGGAAAUGAAAGCCAUUGGUAACCCUGGAGAUAUUAAUUUCAGCAAAAUAACGUUAAGAAUUUGUAAUGAAAUAAAAUAGGGGGAAGGUAAGGUAAUAGGCAGAGUUAAAAGCACCAGUUCAGACAACAAUUUUUUUGAUGGAACUACUUCUAUGGGCAAAAAAAAGGAGAAAGAAUGUGAUUACCAGGGAAUUAGACGCAAGCAUUUGAAAGCUUGUAAAAUACAUACAACUGUUAAAGCCAAAGCAAAUGCUUUUGAUUCCACCUCAACACACUCCCUCCCCAGACUACAUGUUAAAGCUUUCCUAAGAUGCAGCCAUGGAUUUUUGUGAAUAAACAAUAUGAUGUUAAAAUACAGAGGUUUUUACUAGGAAUGAAGUAUUUUAAGUCCUGUACCCUUCUAAUUUUACGUGCUUGGCUUCCUUCCUUAUUAAGAAACAGAAGUAACGAAGGCUGUGAGAGUUGAGAGUUUUCAGUUCCAAACACAAUCUCAGGACUGUCAUCAAC